AAGCCUACUCGGUACCAAUCUCCGAUCAGGACAGUGUAAUCGUCUUCCGGCGGUGGGAAUGGAACUGGGAUGUACAUUCUACUAUUUAUUCUCAUCCCACCAUAUGCUCCUGAUGCCCUUUGCAAUCCGAUCGAUGGUGAGUAGAAGUAACUUCCGAUCUGAUCUUUCAUCUAUAUAUUUUCAAUUCCAUUAGUUAAUUCAUAGAAAUAUCUUAUUUUUAUGUGAAUUUUUAGGGUUAGGGUUACGAGAUUUGGGUUAUGAAAAAAGAAAAUUAGAAAAUAAGGCAAACCUGGAAUUUGUAUGUGAAGUUUGUGCCUGGCAUAAUAGGGCAAUUGGUUCCCCUAGUGCCGUCCAUCCAAGAAUUUUUCCUAUGCUGAAGUCCAUUCCAGGUGAAUAAAAAUGGAACAUCCAAGUUAUUGAAAACAUUAACGACGAUAUUGUCGUUGGUGGUGGAGUUGAUGUUGGGACCAGGGAAUUGGUCGUUUAUGAGAAUAACCUUCUGAGGAGUACCGAGAGGUGAAAUUGUCCCGUAAGACACGUUCCAUGUGAAAUAAUGAUAUGGACACUCGGCUCCGGCCAAUGUGAGGAUUGUAGAGAAGAACACCAGCAACGACAACGCGGCCGUCGUCAUUGCUGACUUUAUGAUUGAAUUAUGAAGAAAAAAAAUAAAAGUGAUGGAAUAGAAUGGAAGGGAGGAAAAACAUGGAUCUGGGAAUGGAAAUGUUAGGGAUGUGUUUUAUAUCCUCUCCAUUGAUAACCAAUUUGAAGGAAAUAGAAUUUCGUUUGUUUGGUUUUUCAAAAUAUGUUUGGUUUGUUAUCAUUCUUCUUCUCCGUCACCCAUUUCUUUUUUAAAUUUAGUUCUCUAGCUUGAUUUUUUUUUUUGGAAAACACAUCAUCCAUUCAUCCCUCCCCCUCUUUUUCCGAUCUCUAUUUAAUUUCAAUUACUGAUUUGUCAUUUUAAUUAUAAGAUUUUAUAUCUCAUUCGUAUCAGAUCUAUACAGAAAAUAUCAAAUGAGGUUUUAUCUCUUUUGACUUUUUUUUAAAGUAAUUAAAUUAUAUAAAGCUAGUAUGAAAAAAUAAAAUAGAAGUAAAAAAAGAAGCAAAAAACACAUUGACUUUAGUUAUAUAAUUAGAUAUGUUGUCUGAUCAUGAGGUUGAUCUUUCAGACUUUUAUCAUAAAUGUCUUCAAAUGAUGAUAAUAUUUCUUUUUGUAAAACUCUGAAUCAAAAGAGAGACUGAUGUUCUUACUAAUUUUUUUAAGAAAUUAUCUCACGGAGACCUAGCUACUGACGUGUUGUAUGUAUCUUUUUUUUCCUGUCCAUAUAUAUGACACAAUGUACAAACAGCUAAUAUAUAACAUUUUACAAUAGCCCACAAAGGGAAGAUCGAGUGGUGUGUAACUUUUUACGCAACCUCCGUAAAAUCGAUCCCCCAAUCUAAUAUCUGAACUAGAUUGAGUGAGAACUAAAAUAUUAAUUUAUUAUUCUUUUGAAGAGGUGUUCAAGAAACGAAAUUAAGAGAGUCCUUGAAUAAGAGCAGUUGAAAAAGAGAUAACUUUUAGAUUCAUCUUUCGGAUUGCAUAAUAGCCAAGCAAGAGAUAUUUGCACUUUUCAGCUUCUCAACUUUCUGAAUAAAGAAUUUUGUCGACAUCUUCGAUCAAAUUUCCUUAGUUAGCACGUCUUUAUAUUAUGAUUUUUAUCUUUAAUACUUUUUACCAUUCCUCCCAAUUUGUUUAUAAAAGUAUCAGAUUUCCACACAAUCGUACAAAUGGUCUUACUCUCUUUAACUUAGGAUAAAAGACACUCGUUGAAAUUUUCUCAUAUCUAACAUUGCACUUAUAUAUUGCAUAUUUGUAAUUAGAAGAUGCAGCAAACUUCGAUGAGGCCACGAUAAAGUUGACAAGAUAACGUUGGGGACUGUAGUGUGGGGAUUACAAUGGAAUCUAUACGGCGUCUCCUUGUUUCACAUAUAGAAACAGAGGAACCAACGAAGGAUGCAGGCAAAGAGCGAUUCAAAACAGGAGUUGUUGCGCAAAAUAAUCGACAUAACAGAUAUUGGAUUCGACGGUGAGAAAUACAAGCUCAAGUGCACAAAAGUGACAGAACGGCAAGCGUUGCUCCAGUGGGGCGCAUUGCUUAUGCUCAUCCGCGACAAGAAUGGAGGAAGUUAGCCACGGCUAACUAUCAGGCAAGUAAUUAACUAGAUAAUUAGUGCAGUAACUAUAUUAUUUUGCUUAAACCCAUAAACUAUUUUUAAUUAAUACAGAAGUAACCUAUUUCAAAAAAAAUAUUGCAGAUUUGUAGGAAUGAGAUAUUAGGCCAAAAAAGAUGUAGACAAGAAAACCCAAGAGUGAGGCAUGAGGGGAGUAUGAUAUAUCCUUACCUCUCAUGGAUUGUAUUGUUGAGGUGUUAUUUGCAAAUUUUCAAAAACUUAUUUGUAAUAAAAAAGUAUUUACUUCACUAAG
rnacentral:lncRNA from 1 species